rnacentral:rRNA from 1 species
AUUGAACGCUGGCGGCAUGCCUUACACAUGCAAGUCAAACGGUAACAGGUCUUCGGAUGCUGACGAGUGGCGAACGGGUGAGUAAUACAUCGGAACGUGCCCGAUCGUGGGGGAUAACGGAGCGAAAGCUUUACUAAUACCGCAUACGAUCUACGGAUGAAAGCAGGGGACCGCAAGGCCUUGCGCGAACGGAGCGGCCGAUGGCAGAUUAGGUAGUUGGUGGGAUAAAAGCUUACCAAGCCGACGAUCUGUAGCUGGUCUGAGAGGACGACCAGCCACACUGGGACUGAGACACGGCCCAGACUCCUACGGGAGGCAGCAGUGGGGAAUUUUGGACAAUGGGCGCAAGCCUGAUCCAGCAAUGCCGCGUGCAGGAUGAAGGCCUUCGGGUUGUAAACUGCUUUUGUACGGAACGAAAAGGCUCUGGUUAAUACCUGGGGCUCAUGACGGUACCGUAAGAAUAAGCACCGGCUAACUACGUGCCAGCCGCCGCCGUAAAAC